rnacentral:ribozyme from 15 species
UUCUGUUCUUUUUUUUUUUUUUUUUUUUUUUUCUUUCUCUCUGUUCGAUGAGAUUUUCUUUGGGUUCUCAAAAAAAGAGUGAGUUUGGCGGGGAAGAGAGAUAGAUUAUUUUGCGUUUUUUGGUUACUUUUUGGAAAAAUUGAUUUUGAAA